CCAGGUGUGAUGGAGAAGGAAUGCUUCUGGUUUCAGAACCUUCAGCUGAAAGAUUUUCCAUAAACUCAUGAUAUAGUUUCAGUAUUUCAGUCUGACCUCAAGUCUAAAAGCACAGCAGCACAAUGCCUGUGGCCUCCUACUGAUCGUCAAAGCCCUCCCUGUCUCCCCAAUCCAAGUUAAGUCCCUCAACCACAUGUUGUAAUCCACGCCUUUCCUUUCAGUCUGCAUUUCAUCACCAGGCUGUUAACCAUCAACACACAAUGCAGACGCGGAGCCCAGCCGCUCUUUGGUUCGCGGCAGCAUUGUUGGAUUCCUGAACACCAGACGGGCGUCCACCCCAGGAAUCGCACAGCUGUACGGUGAUUCACAAAAUGAAAUUGGACACCGGUCGAUAUUUUUUGCCUCAGGUGUGAGGACAGAGAAGCACUAAGAAAGAGAGAGCACAGAUUGUGCUCAUUGUCUGCCUCCAGGCGUUUCUUUGCCUCCCUUUUAUAAAGUGAAAAAUAGUCUCCAAUGAAUAAAAGCUGUUCUUUGUAUGUG